rnacentral:rRNA from 1 species
CCUACGGGAGGCUGCAGUGAGGAAUAUUGGUCAAUGGCCGCAGGGCUGAACCAGCCAAGUCGCGUGAGGGAUGACGGUCCUAUGGAUUGUAAACCUCUUUUGUCAGGGAGCAAAGGGCGCCACGUGUGGCGCUUUGCGAGUACCUGAAGAAAAAGCAUCGGCUAACUCCGUGCCAGCAGCCGCGGUAAUACGGAGGAUGCGAGCGUUAUCCGGAUUUAUUGGGUUUAAAGGGUGCGCAGGCGGAAUGUCAAGUCAGCGGUAAAAUUUCGGGGCUCAACCCCGUCGUGCCGUUGAAACUGGCGUUCUUGAGUGAGCGAGAAGUAUGCGGAAUGCGUGGUGUAGCGGUGAAAUGCAGAGAUAUCACGCAGAACUCCGAUUGCGAAGGCAGCAUACCGGCGCUCAACUGACGCUCAUGCACGAAAGCGUGGGUAUCGAACAGGAUUAGAUACCCGAGUAGUC